AGAGUUUGAUCCUGGCUCAGGACGGACGCUGGCGGCGUGCUAAUACAUGCAAGUCGAGCGAGCGGAACCAACAGAUUUACUUCGGUAAUGACGUUGGGAAAGCGAGCGGCGGAUGGGUGAGUAACACGUGGGGAACCUGCCCCUAAGUCUGGGAUACCAUUUGGAAACAGGUGCUAAUACCGGAUAAUAAAGCAGAUCGCAUGAUCAGCUUUUGAAAGGCGGCGUAAGCUGUCGCUAAGGGAUGGCCCCGCGGUGCAUUAGCUAGUUGGUAAGGUAACGGCUUACCAAGGCGACGAUGCAUAGCCGAGUUGAGAGACUGAUCGGCCACAUUGGGACUGAGACACGGCCCAAACUCCUACGGGAGGCAGCAGUAGGGAAUCUUCCACAAUGGACGCAAGUCUGAUGGAGCAACGCCGCGUGAGUGAAGAAGGUUUUCGGAUCGUAAAGCUCUGUUGUUGGUGAAGAAGGAUAGAGGUAGUAACUGGCCUUUAUUUGACGGUAAUCAACCAGAAAGUCACGGCUAACUACGUGCCAGCAGCCGCGGUAAUACGUAGGUGGCAAGCGUUGUCCGGAUUUAUUGGGCGUAAAGCGAGCGCAGGCGGAAAAAUAAGUCUAAUGUGAAAGCCCUCGGCUUAACCGAGGAACUGCAUCGGAAACUGUUUUUCUUGAGUGCAGAAGAGGAGAGUGGAACUCCAUGUGUAGCGGUGGAAUGCGUGGAUAUAUGGAAGAACACCAGUGGCGAAGGCGGCUCUCUGGUCUGCAACUGACGCUGAGGCUCGAAAGCAUGGGUAGCGAACAGGAUUAGAUACCCUGGUAGUCCAUGCCGUAAACGAUGAGUGCUGAGUGUUGGGAGGUUUCCGCCUCUCAGUGCUGCAGCUAACGCAUUAAGCACUCCGCCUGGGGAGUACGACCGCAAGGUUGAAACUCAAAGGAAUUGACGG
rnacentral:rRNA from 1 species